rnacentral:rRNA from 2 species
AGACGAACGCUGGCGGCGUGCCUAAUACAUGCAAGUCGAACGAACUCUGGUAUUGAUUGGUGCUUGCAUCAUGAUUUACAUUUGAGUGAGUGGCGAACUGGUGAGUAACACGUGGGAAACCUGCCCAGAAGCGGGGGAUAACACCUGGAAACAGAUGCUAAUACCGCAUAACAACUUGGACCGCAUGGUCCGAGCUUGAAAGAUGGCUUCGGCUAUCACUUUUGGAUGGUCCCGCGGCGUAUUAGCUAGAUGGUGGGGUAACGGCUCACCAUGGCAAUGAUACGUAGCCGACCUGAGAGGGUAAUCGGCCACAUUGGGACUGAGACACGGCCCAAACUCCUACGGGAGGCAGCAGUAGGGAAUCUUCCACAAUGGACGAAAGUCUGAUGGAGCAACGCCGCGUGAGUGAAGAAGGGUUUCGGCUCGUAAAACUCUGUUGUUAAAGAAGAACAUAUCUGAGAGUAACUGUUCAGGUAUUGACGGUAUUUAACCAGAAAGCCACGGCUAACUACGUGCCAGCAGCCGCGGUAAUACGUAGGUGGCAAGCGUUGUCCGGAUUUAUUGGGCGUAAAGCGAGCGCAGGCGGUUUUUUAAGUCUGAUGUGAAAGCCUUCGGCUCAACCGAAGAAGUGCAUCGGAAACUGGGAAACUUGAGUGCAGAAGAGGACAGUGGAACUCCAUGUGUAGCGGUGAAAUGCGUAGAUAUAUGGAAGAACACCAGUGGCGAAGGCGGCUGUCUGGUCUGUAACUGACGCUGAGGCUCGAAAGUAUGGGUAGCAAACAGGAUUAGAUACCCUGGUAGUCCAUACCGUAAACGAUGAAUGCUAAGUGUUGGAGGGUUUCCGCCCUUCAGUGCUGCAGCUAACGCAUUAAGCAUUCCGCCUGGGGAGUACGGCCGCAAGGCUGAAACUCAAAGGAAUUGACGGGGGCCCGCACAAGCGGUGGAGCAUGUGGUUUAAUUCGAAGCUACGCGAAGAACCUUACCAGGUCUUGACAUACUAUGCAAAUCUAAGAGAUUAGACGUUCCCUUCGGGGACAUGGAUACAGGUGGUGCAUGGUUGUCGUCAGCUCGUGUCGUGAGAUGUUGGGUUAAGUCCCGCAACGAGCGCAACCCUUAUUAUCAGUUGCCAGCAUUAAGUUGGGCACUCUGGUGAGACUGCCGGUGACAAACCGGAGGAAGGUGGGGAUGACGUCAAAUCAUCAUGCCCCUUAUGACCUGGGCUACACACGUGCUACAAUGGAUGGUACAACGAGUUGCGAACUCGCGAGAGUAAGCUAAUCUCUUAAAGCCAUUCUCAGUUCGGAUUGUAGGCUGCAACUCGCCUACAUGAAGUCGGAAUCGCUAGUAAUCGCGGAUCAGCAUGCCGCGGUGAAUACGUUCCCGGGCCUUGUACACACCGCCCGUCACACCAUGAGAGUUUGUAACACCCAAAGUCGGUGGGGUAACCUUUUAGGAACCAGCCGCCUAAGGUGGGACAGAUGAUUAGGGUGAAG